CACGGGGGGAGCAAGCGUUGUUCGGAUUCAUUGGGCGUAAAGGGCUCGUAGGCCGCUCUGUAAGUCGGAAGUGAAAGACCCCGGCUCAACCGUGGAACCGCUUUCGAAACUGUGGAGCUUGAGGCCGGGAGAGGAGAUUGGAAUUCCUGGUGUAGCGGUGAAAUGCGUAGAUAUCAGGAGGAACACCGGUGGCGAAGGCGGGUCUCUGGGCCGAUACUGACGCUGAGGAGCGAAAGCGUGGGGAGCGAACAGG
rnacentral:rRNA from 1 species